rnacentral:lncRNA from 1 species
AAUUACAUGGUAAGACUAGAGUAAGGGACUUAUUAAAUAAGUAGACCAUUAUUUAUAUAAGUUAUUGAUAGUGGAUGCUUAUGAUUGAUAUUAUUUAUUAUAUGUUAAAUAUAUUAUAAUAUUUAACUAGUAAAUCAUGUUAAAAUUAAAAUGAAAAUGAAAUAAUAAAGAAUAGGAAACAAAUAACUUAGUGGAAAAGAG